rnacentral:rRNA from 1 species
GUCCACGCCGUAAACGAUGUCUACUAGCCGUUGGGAGCCUUGAGCUCUUAGUGGCGCAGCUAACGCACUAAGUAGACCGCCUGGGGAGUACGGUCGCAAGAUUAAAACUCAAAAUGAAAUUGACGGGGGCCCGCACAAGCGGUGGAGCAUGUGGUUUAAUUCGACGCAACGCGAAGAACCUUACCAGGUCUUGACAUCCAGAGAACUUUCCAGAGAUGGAUUGGUGCCUUCGGGGACGCUCUGAGACAGGUGCUGCAUGGCUGUCGU